rnacentral:lncRNA from 1 species
AGCAUUAUGCCUCCCUCUCUCUGCGACCAUUUUUCAAUAGCACAAUGAAAAGCACUAACUUGAAUUACAUUUGAAUUACGCUAACCUAUUGACUUCCAGUUCAACGUGGCCAUUCUGUGCAACACAAAGAUACAAGAAAUCACCUGGCGUAGAAACUUGAAUACUGCACUACAGCAAAACUCUAGCGACUUUGGAGCUUUAUGCAAUAACUCCGCGGAAUGCAACGCUGCAUUAUUAAGGCGUGCUAAUUAGACUAACCAUCACUUAAAACAAUCCAGCCAAACAAAAAAUAGGCUGUUUGACGCAAAGACCAACCGACUUUUAAUUAAACUUUAAUUCAAACUAAUGGAUCUACAUGAAAAAGCCACGAUGAACACACAGACUAUGCUCGCCAGGCAACUGACAAGAGUGUAUUUUCAGAAGGGAUUGAAGGAGUAUAUCUGUAUUGGGAAAAUAUGUAUUUAAAUAAAAAAUUACAGUAGGAGAGGUAAGACUCAAUAUAUUUCAGAUUUGACAGAGGGAGGGUGCAAUAACACACUAAAAAACCCAAUACCUUCAUUCAUGUGACUUCAUUCUGAUUGCAGCUCAAUUAGCCUACACCACCUGAACAAUUUUUUUUUUUUACAACGAAUAAAAUCUAAAUGCAUUUUUUCCAUGUAGAGCUUAUUAGUUCCCUAAUUAUUUCCUCUUUCUCCAGGAGGAAUAAAUAGGCAUCUCUGCGGUUCCCUGUACUGGGCUGCAUAUUGCAAACGUGAUCGUAGGUCUGCUCGAGGCAAUGAUCAGUGAGUGUCCUCACCUAUGGACACGCAGUAAAAUCUCACAUCGUUUUGACAGCACUUUGUCUAUGUUUAGCACUCUAAUAAAAGCAUCUGGAAGAAGGAAAAGCACAAUGACCAUCCCGUAUUGCAGGGUACUGUAGCAUAAGUUAACAGCAUUUCUCAACUUUGCAAGCAAGAAGUCAGGAAUAAUCAUAUUCAGAAAUAUCAGAAACAAAGCCCCCACAUCAAAACAGCAACUUAGGAAGAACCCAA